rnacentral:rRNA from 1 species
AUGAACGCUGGCGGCGUGCCUCAUCCCUGCAGGUCGAGCGAACAGACGAGGAGCUUGCUCCUCUGACGUUAGCGGCGGACGGGUGAGUAACACGUGGAUAACCUACCUAUAAGACUGGGAUAACUUCGGGAAACCGGAGCUAAUACCGGAUAAUAUAUUGAACCGCAUGGUUCAAUAGUGAAAGACGGUUUUGCUGUCACUUAUAGAUGGAUCCGCGCCGCAUUAGCUAGUUGGUAAGGUAACGGCUUACCAAGGCAACGAUGCGUAGCCGACCUGAGAGGGUGAUCGGCCACACUGGAACUGAGACACGGUCCAGACUCCUACGGGAGGCAGCAGUAGGGAAUCUUCCGCAAUGGGCGAAAGCCUGACGGAGCAACGCCGCGUGAGUGAUGAAGGUCUUCGGAUCGUAAAACUCUGUUAUUAGGGAAGAACAAAUGUGUAAGUAACUAUGCACGUCUUGACGGUACCUAAUCAGAAAGCCACGGCUAACUACGUG